GAUGAACGCUGGCGGCGUGCCUAAUACAUGCAAGUCGAGCGAACAGACGAGGAGCUUGCUCCUCUGACGUUAGCGGCGGACGGGUGAGUAACACGUGGAUAACCUACCUAUAAGACUGGGAUAACUUCGGGAAACCGGAGCUAAUACCGGAUAAUAUAUUGAACCGCAUGGUUCAAUAGUGAAAGACGGUUUUGCUGUCACUUAUACAUGGAUCCGCGCCGCAUUAGCUAGUUGGUAAGGUAACGGCUUACCAAGGCAACGAUGCGUAGCCGACCUGAGAGGGUGAUCGGCCACACUGGAACUGAGACACGGUCCAGACUCCUACGGGAGGCAGCAGUAGGGAAUCUUCGGCAAUGGGCGAAAGCUUGACGGAGCAACGCCGCGUGGGUGAUGAAGGUCUUCGGAUCGUAAAACUCUGUUAUUAGGGAAGAACAAAUGUGUAAGUAACUAUGCACGUCUUGACGGUACCUAAUCAGAAAGCCACGGCUAACUACGUG
rnacentral:rRNA from 1 species